AGGAGGCGGUCGCGGUGGUGGCAGCAGCAGAGUAACAACAGAAGCAGCAAAAAUGCAGGGACACUGCAUCCCUGUUGCCAGACAGAGGCAGAAGGAGAAAGGAGAUGGCAGAGGUUGGAGCAUCAGCUCCAAGAAGCAGCUAGCAAGAAAACCCCAGGUUUCAGCAGUGCAAACCACUAUAAACUGCAGCAUACGUAGGAUUCCCAAGCAGCCACCCAUUCAGGACUUGACCAACAUUUAGCUUCAACAAGAUGUCCGUAUCAUGUGCUCUCAGACCAUGUCCUGGGACCCAUCAACACCGACAAGUUCUAGGUAACAAUGUGGGCCUGUCUAUGGUAAAUUACACCUGGAUACUAGUCUGGCCUUGUCAAUCUGUUUUUAUCAGUAUUUUGGUAUCGUAGAUUCAGGAAUGCUUGAUGCAUACUUACAUGCCUCCAGCCACCCAGAGCACUCAAUCCAUUGUUAAUAUCUAAGUCCUAUGCUACAACCAUGUAUAUUUCACUCUCUCAAAGACAAAUUCUUCAAGCACUUGCAUCAAGCAUUAUUGAAGAGUCUGGAAUCCAUAAUGAGUUAGGCAAAAGCUAAGCAACUGAAUUUCAGUCCAGCCAAGGUGGAGGCCUGGGAUAGGUAGUUCAUCAGAACAUGACGGUGGUGGGCAACUAGUUCUAGAUGGGCUUCCACUCCAAUUUAAAGAUAAAGUCCACAAUUUGGGAGUGAUUCUAAACCCAGUUUUUAUGGAUGUUCACAUGGUUACUUUAGCUCAAAGUGCCUUUCAUCAACUGCAGUCAAAACUGAU